UCGAGUUACUCCGGAACACAGUGUUUAUUCUGUGUUUAGUCACGCCGCGUCAAAAAUGUUCCACAGGGUUACUUCCGGUUUAUCGUUGUUUACCUUUGUUUACCAACAGUCGACACUUCGUGUAUUAUGCCUAGGCUUAAUUUUGUCGAUCAUCAUGAAAUUGAAAUACACAUUUAAUAGUUUGGGGUGUAUGCGGUACAUAUUUGUUUAUGAGCGUUUGAUAAGCUACUAUUGAUCUACGAAAUACAACGAAAGACUUCGUCAAGAACAGAAGACGAUGUCGUGUAACUCACACAAGGCCCGGCCCAGCUGUCUAGUAACCGGAGGGGUAAAGGAAAAGAACGUAUUAGACUCACUGAAACCUGUCAAACUGGUUAAUGGGAACAGGAUAAUUUUCCAUGCCUUUCACUUGAGGUCUUCAGUUUCAUCAUUAAUCAUCUGAAUGUCGGUAUGCCAAACUCUCAUGAUGUCAUGCCAUUACUGGAUAUUCCUUAACACUGGUUUAUUUAAACCACACUACCUAUAACAUUGCCAAAUAUUAGACUGAAAAUUUUCAAAUACACAAGAUUUGAAGCAGCAAAAGAAAAGAAUUACAUAUGUAUAAGACACAAAAAAGAAGAAAUUAAUUCUCACCUGGCUGAUAUGAACUUUUUACUCCUUUUUAGCUCCCUUUCACUGCAUACCAGCCAAUAACUAGCAGUCAUUAUAUGCAGAUCAGCCAUUGUUAUCAACCUGUGUAUAUAUAUGUUGAAUAAAAUAUGAAUGAAAA